rnacentral:rRNA from 1 species
AGAGUUUGAUCAUGGCUCAGGAUGAACGCUAGCUACAGGCUUAACACAUGCAAGUCGAGGGGCAGCAUGUUGGUUGCUUGCAACCAACGAUGGCGACCGGCGCACGGGUGAGUAACGCGUAUCCAACCUACCCUUGUCCAUCGGAUAACCCGUCGAAAGGCGGCCUAACACGAUAUGCGGUUCACAGCAGGCAUCUAACGUGAACGAAAUGUGAAGGAGAAGGAUGGGGAUGCGUCUGAUUAGCUUGGUUGGCGGGGUAACGGCCCACCAAGGCUACGAUCAGUAGGGGUUCUGAGAGGAAGGUCCCCCANAUUGGAACUGAGACACGGUCCAAACUCCGUACGGGAGGCA